AGCCUGGUAACCGGGACCUCCCCGCCAGGUCCUGUUGUUGCUGGAGAAGGGUAGCUGACAAACUCCAACUCAGCACAGUGUUUAUGUUGGUCAAAAAUAGGAAACUAUGUUCAGGCGCGGCGGAGGUGGGAGGAUCCCUUCAGGCCAGGCAGUCAAGAGCAGCCUGGGCAACAUGGCGCGACCCCAUCUCUGAAGUCCCACCUCAGCUUCCCAGCUACUUGAACUCCAAGGUUCAUGGCUCCAAUGAGCUAUGUUCCCACUACAUCACCCCAGCCUGCGAGACUGAGGAUAGAUCUUCAGUUCUCAUGACUACAGGAGGAUACUAAGGCUCAGACAGGAGAAGAGACGUGGCCAGCCUGUGUCCCCAGAGUCUAUGAUCUUACCACUAGGUUACAGUGCUUCUGGGGAGCACAUGUUGUGAGGUUUUUGCUUUAAAAUGAACCAAUAAAAAACAAAGGCAAAAAAGGCAUAAGCUAUUAAAAAGUGGGAGAAACACUAAGAGAACCUUAAGCACAUAACUAAAAAUAUUAUGGAAAAGUUAUUGAAUUCAUUAGCAAAUUUACUCUAAUUCUAGAUUUUCAUUGAGGG
rnacentral:lncRNA from 1 species